AUGUAUUAAUCCUACGCCCGGUAGGCGUUCGAUAGCGUGAUUUCUUUUUAAUUUUCCCCUAUUUUUUCUUCAAUUUUUUCCCGGAAAAAAGAAGAAAUAACGCGAGAGAGCGGAUGUCUUAGGGCUUCAUCUCUGCUUUAGGUAGGGUUUUCGCGGAUCUCUCGCUAGGGUUUUUCCGAGAGCUGGGGGUUUUGGGAAGGAAGGAUCGCCGGGGCGAAGGAGAGGGUGCGAUUGAUGGAUACGGCCUCGCAAUUGAGCGAAGACGAGGAUGAGUUCGGGAGGAGGCAGGGCUCCUCUCAGAAAGUGGAAUUGAGUGUGAAGGUGGAUGGGAAGGGUGGCGGGCAGAAGCCGGGCACACCAACCACGCCAAGAUCGAAGCACUCUGCAACAGAGCAGCGACGAAGGUACAAAAUUAAUGAUAGGUUCCAGAUACUUAGAGACCUUAUACCACAUAGUGAUCAGAAGCGAGAUAAAGCUUCAUUUCUUUUGGAGGUUAUUGAAUAUAUUAAAUUCUUACAAGAGAGGUUGCAAAAAUAUGAACCAUACCAGGGAUGGUGUCCAGCAAAUGCAAAGUUAAUGCCAUGGAGUAACAGCCAGGGCCCUACAGAUGGUGUAUCUGACUCUUCUCAUGUCUUUAAAAAUGGGCCUUCUCCCCCUGGGUUUAUGUUCACUGAGAAGUUUGUUGACAAUACCAUCCCUAUUGCCCCGACAAUGCUCUCACACACACAGAAUGUGGAAGAACCAGACAUGAAUCCUGGUACAGGUGCGGUGCUCGUUCCUUUGCAGCCAAACUUUUGUGCUUCUGUUGGAAUGGAAUCUGGUUUAACAGAGCCUCAGGAGGGGUUAAUUUCAGAUUCAGAUAACAUGGCAUCACAGUCCCAAUCAUGGCAGAGACCGUCAGGCCCAGCUGACUGUAAUAUCGGCGGGGAUAUGUUGAGUGAACAGGAAGAGCUAGCCAUUGAUGAGGGCACAAUCAGCAUUUCUAGUGUCUACACUCAAGGGAUAUUGACCACACUAACACAAGCACUGGAGAGUUCAGGUAUAGAUCUAUCUCAAGCCAGCAUCUCCGUGCAGAUUAAUCUAGGUAAACGGGCGAUCAGUAGAAGACCAACUGCCACCACUACUAUGUCUGGUGCUAAGGAUCAUGAAGACCCCUCAGCUGUUAAUCAAGUAAUGGGGGACUCGAGGGUGGGGAGCAGUGGUGAGGAAUCUGAGCAAGCUCUGAAGAGGCAUAAAGUUGAUAGCAGCUAAUGCUACAUCUUUGGAUCCUCUUAUUUACCUUAUACUAAAUCAAAGAUGAAUGUUCGAGCCUUUGCAGAUGGGCAUAACGGCAUUAUGUAUUCUUGCUUAUGUCUUCUAGUGAAGUGGCUUCCAUGACAAAUUGAGAAGCUACUUCAUUUCAGGCUUUUUUCCUGUUAGGAGGGCUCACAGUACUUCAUCCUUGUAAGCUGUUUGAUUGAGUUGAUGGAGGUGGAGCAUCGGGCAAUUGUGGAACUGAUUAUUGUGAUGCUAUUUCUUCAUGUAGAUUGAUUGGAAUACAGAGAACUAGAUGAUUCACAUCAUUAUUUUUUUCCUUUCCCAUAACCGGAUACUCCAGCUUAUCAUUCAUUGCUGAAAUUGUGCAGCUUUUCUUCAUUCUCCCCCAUAGGGUGCCUAGAUUUAGGAGUAUAUAUCAGGUCAUAAAGGAUACACUCAACAAGCCAUAGGGCUGUCGAAUAGAACAAGCUGUUUUUACAGCUCGGCUUUAGCUUGCUACCGUAGGUUGUACAGAAGCCUUCUCUUCAUCCCUGAUAGCUUAGGAACUGCAAACAGAAACUCCAGCGUCCCAGAUAACCAUCAUUCAACCUUAACCCUUCUCCAUUGCUAUGGGCCAAUGGCAGAGAUGUUAGCUAAUCAUUCUUCUUGUUCUUCAUCAACAAUGUAUCGAACGGGCCGAGGAUGCAUGUCAUAGGGUGAUGUAUUAAGGGUUUCAGGGUUAAUGAUGAUGAUAAUUGAGGUUGAACUAUGGCUUUUCGAGAUUUUUGCUAGAAAUAAAGAUCUCAUGGAGCAUGCAUAGUUCUCGACCUCUUUCAGUGGUCUCUCUGCUCACCUGGCCAUCCACUCCUUGUUGCUGGGCAAUCUCCCCCCGUUGAGACCUAUCAAGCUGAACUCACGUUUGAUGAUCGAUAAGUUGAGCUCAAGCUCUCGCUAGAGUUGAGACCCCUGCUAGCACCAUCACACGUUCACCAAAUCAAAUGCCUCAAAUUGAAGAGGUUUGCAAGCUCAUCUGGGUUCUUCCUUGUAGGGGCAUUUUUUUAAAAUCUAUUAUCCUCAACAAUCUGAAGCUAGAAAUCACUGCAUCAUUCGGCCGGGUCAUGUGUUUAUUUCUGUACAUGAACAAAGAAGGAAGGUGGGGACACUGACAUGCUUUUGUUUAAAGAAUAUGACUGCUGUUUCAGAUU